rnacentral:tRNA from 2 species
GGGGGUGUAGCUCAGUUGGUUAGAGCGCAUGCCUGUCACGCAUGAGGUCGCGAGUUCGAGCCUCGUCACUCCCGCCA